rnacentral:misc_RNA from 1 species
GGAAGGAUCAUUAGAGGUUUAAACAUAUAUAAUCAGCUUUUGAGCCCUUUUAGGGGGUUUCAGAAAAAAAGGGGACGGUCGAAGUGAAGCCUUGCUGCUUUCGUUGCGGGAAACAGCAAGCGCUUCUACUGAGACUAGCUCCUGCUAAGGUCUACGAAAAUCCUCUCCGCAAGGGGACGAGUAAUGGACCAAGGCGAAAGGACUAUUUUAAACAGGGGUCCAGCUUUUAGCCUGCUUACUCAAUGCGCAGAGUUUGCAGCCUAAACAGCAAGGGACAGCCUUUCCUUCAGGCUACCGAACAUCUUCCUUGCGCAAGGAAGGUAAUUAGGGGCUUGCAAGUGAUAAACCUUAUGAACAAACUAGCCUUAGUGUUGUAAAAAGAUUACCUAUACAACUUCUAGCGGUGGAUGUCUCGGCUUACGUAACGAUGAAGAACGUAGCAAACUGCGAUAAUUGAUGGAAAUUGCAGAAUACUUCGACUCAUCGAGUUUUUGAAUGCAACCUGCGCCUAGGUCAUCAUAUGGCUUAGGCGUGCUUGGUUGAGAUCGAUUAAUAAAAUAUCCCAAAAACCAAAAGGGGACAUGGGAGAUUAGGUAGUUAGACGCAGGAUUAACUACCCUCCUUUAAAUGGAAGGAAGGCGCAGCUCUUAUUAUAACGCAAAAGGAGCUCGGGCGCAACCCUUAUCACCCCCUCGACCCGAAAAGUGGCAUGUGGGACUUUGCGAAAAUUAUUUUUUGCAGGUCAGGGCAGUUCCUCUUAGCAGGGCUUAACCCACUACAGUAACUGGAGUUCGUAGGUUAUAUUGGUCAGGGACCGCGCGACUACUAUCCUGCCUAGUCAGCAACUCGCUUGGCUUAGGACACGGCUCUGGGAUGUCGUAGAUGGUAUUCCUAAACUAGUCUCCAUACCUUUGUAGUCCAACACCAUUUGAUACCAGAGGGAUAGGUCUAAGGGCUAUAAGCAAACCAGUUCUGAAUAUAUUAUAGUAGGCUGGUGCCUUUAACCUAAACAAAACAUACCUUUUAAAUCAUCGACUCAACUCAAGCACGGCUACCCGCUGAAUUUAAGCAUAUCAUUAGGCGGAGGAAAAGAAAUUAACUAAGAUUCCCCCAGUAAUGGCGAAUGAACAGGGAAAAGCUCAGCCUGAAUCGGUGGGGACUAGUCUUCUCACCGAGAUGUAGGGUUUCGACUGGUCUAAGUGGGUCGGCCUCAAGCUAAAGUCACCUGGAACGGUGCACCAUAGAGGGUGAAAGUCCCGUAGGCUACUAAUGGGGAAGGCUCACAUAUUGGCUAGAUCGUAGAGUCGGGUUGCUUGGGAGUGCAACUCUAAUCGGGUGAUAAACUUCAUCCAAAGCUAAAUAUCGACGUAAGACCGAUAGCGAACAAGUACCGUGAGGGAAAGAUGAAAAGAACUUUGAAAAGAGAGUUAAAAGUACCUGAAACCGCUAGAAGGUAAGCGGUCGGCACCAUCAUUGGAGCCUUUACAAUUCAACCGUUAGGUGUGGAAGCUGGGGUCUGUUAGUAGGCCUCUUAUGGGUCGCUGCAGGUUCUUGCCAAGCAUUUGGCGGGGCACUUUGUGGAGGUGACACGUCAGGGUCACUUUUAGUUGGGAGAAAAUAAGCCUGUUGGGGAGGUAACCAGCCGUUGGUUGGUGAAACCCAGUAGAUGCUUAUCUUGGCUUGGAGUGAGGGUUCUUAAGGGAACACGGGUGGGGGUAUUCUUGGUUAGGGCGCUCUACUUCGGUAGGGUCUCGAGUCCAUAACCCAUCCUAGACCACGACGCUGAUGGAAUCGACCGUCCCGUCUUGAAACACGGACCAAGGAGUGUAAAUGAUGCGCGAGUCUUAGGGUGAGUAAACCCAAGGGCGCAAUGAAAGUGAGAAUACACCUGAAGCCCGCAAGGGAUCUGCAAGGUGGGCCGGUAGCAGUUUAAGAGCUGUUAUCCGAGCAGGAGCGUAUCGUUUACGACCCGAAAGGUGGCGAACUAUGCUUGUGUAGGACGAAGCCAGAAGAAAUUCUGGUGGAAGUUCGUAGCGGUAUUGACGUGCAAAUCAUUCGUCAAACAUGAGUAUAGCGGCGAAAGACUAAUCGAGCCGCCUAGUAGCUGGUUCCUCU